rnacentral:rRNA from 1 species
UACGGGGGGAGCAAGCGUUGUUCGGAUUUACUGGGCGUAAAGGGCGCGUAGGCGGCCAGCACAAGUCAGUUGUGAAAUCUCCGGGCUUAACUCGGAAAGGUCAACUGAUACUGUGCGGCUAGAGUGCAGAAGGGGCAACUGGAAUUCUCGGUGUAGCGGUGAAAUGCGUAGAUAUCGAGAGGAACACCUGCGGCGAAGGCGGGUUGCUGGGCUGACACUGACGCUGAGGCGCGAAAGCGUGGGGAGCAAACGGG